rnacentral:lncRNA from 1 species
GAAAAUGUACAUUGCGACUUGUCGCAGUAUCAAAUGCUUGCCUCCUCUGAGUAUGUGCUUGAAACAAGAAUGUCCUGGAGAAAACAGACCGUCACAAGAGAAGGAAUUGAGAAGGAGGGCUUCCUGUCAAGAGAUCAUGGGGUGCCUUGAGGUUCCAGCCUUGAAUUUCUGCUCUUUACCUCUAAGCAAUGGCCUCUUGUAGGAGCAAAGCACAAUGGACUGGUGCCUGUACAUGUAAUGCAGAAGCUCAUGAAGAUAUGGUAGACAAGACAAGGACCUUGUUGUGUAAAGCUCAGAGGCCAGAUGACAGUGUCUGAACCAGCUUGUCAGAAUUGGUUACAAAGAUGCAAGUGGACUUGUCUUCAGAAGUAGCUAAAGAGGAGCAGUCAGCCGAAGGAGCACGCAACUCCAAAACAAUGUGGAUACUGGAUACUUCUCUCAAGUUCAUCUCUAAUCAGACAUGGCUCUUCAGGAAUCAAGAUGAGUCAAUGGAGGUAGAGGAGUUUGUGACCCUCCUGACUGUGGACUACUUGCAUUAUACAUGUAGCACUACUGCACAAAACUCGACCAGUCAUGCUUGAGCAAAUCGUAACAAACACUUGUUGAAGCAUUGAUUUAUGUAACUGGUAUUAUAGCCAUUAGGUAGAGUUAAGCUUCUAAAUUUGAUAAGAAACUUUGUCCCAAAAGAACCGCAAGCUGCGAUCCCCUCCCCCCCUCUGCUCUUACCCUU